UUCCCAAAAUUUCUUCCCUUACGUACGCGAACGCGAGAACACACCGGAACGCCCUAAUUUCUUCAUUCUCAUUCUUCAUCGUUCCCAAAUUUCUUCCCAAUUUCUUCCCAAAUCGCCAUAGCUUCACGCACACAAAGAACAAACUGAACCCUAGCUUUCAAUUUCACCAAAUUGAUCGAACUAGUUCAACAAAUCUUUGUUUCAGCAAAUCGUUCACCCUCUCACUCGAUCGAACUAUCCCUCUUUCUCUCUGUCACACCCGUUCUCCCUCGAACCCUACCCUCCAAUCUCUUUCACUGAAUCACAAAUUCCAUUCCCUAAUUGAAGAAUCAAGGCUUACUGAACCCAAAUAGAAGCUCAAUGAAACGAAUCAAAGCUGAUUUUGGGUUUUCGAUCGGAGGGAGAGGAACAAGCUGAGAGAGCUUUGAUUCUAUUCUCAAUUUUUAUUCUUAAAAUUAUGUUCUUAGUUUGGUAUUCUGUCAGAUCUGUUUAUGUUUUCUUAGUUUUUUUUUUUCAUUUAAAGUUUCAAUGAUUUUUUUGUCUGGUAUACUGGAAAUUAUAAAGGUAAACUAUAUGAUACUGAUUUUGUUUUCUUACAAUGAGAAUGGAUUCUUUGUCUUUCUAGCCAGCAGAUCUUUGAAUAAAAUUUUAGGUUCUAUAUUUUUACAGGAUAGCAAAGGCUUUGAACAGUUGUAGUGCUAGCACUGGUGACAUUAUCAGUACCACAUUGAGGCUCAAACAAGAGCUUGAAACUAUAAUACACAAACACAAGAGAUUGUGACAUGUUUUUUAUGUGAUUAUCAGCUCUCCCCUGAAGAGGUUUGAAUUAUUGUUUGAUGUUUUACCAUCGGCACGUGGCUUUGUGAAUCAAAUAACUGAAUUAUAUUCUUUCUUAAACUUAAUUUUUGAUCAUCUGUAGAUAAAUGCACUUAGAGAUGAAGAUUUGAAUGAAAAACGUUUUCAAAGUUUUGAGAUAGUAGCUUAAUUGGUUUCACAUGUGGCUCACUUUAAGGCUAUAUGCUAACAAGUGUCUUGCUGUAGGGUGCUUCAAUUUGUUGAAGCUUUGAUGCUAAUUACUUGUUCUCUGUGUUUCAAAUUGAUAAGGGUUACAUAUUUACUUGAUUGCUUAUGACUUUUAUGUUUUUGUUGUUAAAUUAUGUUUUAAAGGGAUGAAGAUUUGAACCAUUUUCUGCACUGAUUUACUUUAUCUAAGCUCGGUAAGAUUAUGAGUUGAACACUAAUAUGUAUAUCAUCGUGUAUAUCAUGGAAUCACCGGUUUGUUGGUGAAUUGGUUUUCAAUGGCCAAAUUAGACUUUCUUUGUUAGUUAUGAGAUUCACUACCAAGAUGACUGCAAUAUCCGUAUUAGAUGCAAUCUGUUGAAUGAUCUUUGAAGGAACCAAAUGCUAUGGGCUUAUCAACUUUAGGGAAGGAUGGAAAAUACUCAUCACGGAUAGUAUUGCUAAAAGGCUUCGACAAGGAUGCAUUUGUGUGGUCAGUAAUAAACUUGUUAGUAUAUAUAUUAUGGCAAAAUGAACUAGUAUAGAACUUGUUAGUAUAUAUUCUUGUAAUUUUAAAUAAGUUUUAGAGGUUUUAUUUUAUGUUGUUGGAAGUAUAUCAGUAUCAAUGUGGUCCUUGUACCUGUUAAAGUCAGAGUGUAAAAAUGGAGAAAUUACAAAGAGAAUCAAAAGGACAAUCAUUGACUCAGGCUGGGUUUCUCUCUUAUUUGAAGUUCGACGUUGUUUAGCUUGAGUUUUGGUAUGUUACUAUUUAGGAGCUCUUAGGCCUUGUGAACUGUCUUGAUUUGAUGACAGUGUUGGUGUUGUAAUUUAGCUUGAAGCAUGAUUUCAAUGAACUGCUUGUUAAAUUGAUGCAAAGGUGAUAAAGUAUACUUAAUUCACAUGGACUGCUUGUUAAAUUGAUUUCAAAUUAUUAUCACAUUUAUAUUUUGGUACGUGUAUUGGGCUAAGAAAAAGUUGUAAACUGUGUGCAUUGAUCAGGUCGGAUGAAUAUCUAUUUGGAAGUUAUAACCAGAAUCUUCCCAGGAAUAUUUCCGUCGUAAAAGAAAUUUUUUCUGGACCUAACCGCCUGGGAACCGAGGAAGCUAUUAUUGAGAUGAUUGACUUCAGGGAAAAACAUGGUGGAAUGGGAAUUUGAACUGACGAAGCAUCAAGCGCAACUAUACCUUCCUCUAGUUAUUAGGCUUCAAAUUGGAACUAAAGGAGUUUUUGAAAGGGAGGCAAUUCUUAUGUGAUGGAGCCUGCUGCUGCUUUUCUUUCUCAGCAAUGGCUAAGUGGUGUAUAAUUGUCGCUGGUAUCUUAACUGCUUAGUAAUAUUAAUGUUGUAUCCUUAGCUAUUGCUUAGUGUGUUCCAUUGUAUUGGUGCAUUUUUUUUUUGAACUGGUAUCAUGUAUCAUUUAGAGCUUGCUGAACAUCUUGUACACAAGACUUUUUGCUUUUAAUGCCAAUUUUCCUUUUCCAAAAAAAUAAUUGAGUAUUGGAGUAGGUAUUUGCAUAAUUGUUUUGGAAACUUCAUUUGCAUUGGAUUAGGUUUGGUCACCUAGGUAUGCUAAAAACGAAAAAAAAAAUCAAACAUACCACUACUGAUC